rnacentral:tRNA from 1 species
GGGUUCACUCCGAGCUGGAAAUUCUGACCGAUAAUCAGAACAAAGAGGUUAAACUCCUCUUGAACCCU